GAUCAUGGCUCAGAUUGAACGCUGGCGGAAUGCUUUACACAUGCAAGUCGAACGGUAACAGGUCUUCGGAUGCUGACGAGUGGCGAACGGGUGAGUAAUAUAUCGGAACGUGCCCAGUCGUGGGGGAUAACGUAGCGAAAGUUACGCUAAUACCGCAUACGAUCUACGGAUGAAAGCGGGGGAUCGCAAGACCUCGCGCGAUUGGAGCGGCCGAUAUCAGAUUAGGUAGUUGGUGGGGUAAAGGCUCACCAAGCCAACGAUCUGUAGCUGGUCUGAGAGGACGACCAGCCACACUGGAACUGAGACACGGUCCAGACUCCUACGGGAGGCAGCAGUGGGGAAUUUUGGACAAUGGACGCAAGUCUGAUCCAGCCAUUCCGCGUGCAGGAUGAAGGCCCUCGGGUUGUAAACUGCUUUUGUACGGAACGAAAAGGUCUCUAUUAAUACUAGGGGCUCAUGACGGUACCGUAAGAAUAAGCACCGGCUAACUACGUG
rnacentral:rRNA from 1 species